rnacentral:lncRNA from 1 species
GACGUGGGUACGAGGGAGCGUGCGGGAGCUGAGUUCGUUUCCCAGGAGAGUGAGAAAGAGGGGCCGUGGGGAGCCCGGGCGGGUGCAGUGACCCCGCCGUCGGCGCCGCCAAGCCCCGCCCGCGGCGCUCCCGGGCUUCCCCGCCCCGGCGCCCGCUCCCUCCCCGUCCCUGUCGCCAGGCGCUGGCGGCCCCACGGCCACAGCCUCCUGGCCGCCGCCGCCUCCAGAUCGCCGCCGCCGCCGCCACCACCACCGCCCCCAACCGCGCGCAUCCCGAGCCGCCCCGGGAAGCAGGUCACAGAAGCCUGGUGCUGAGUGGGACCAAGCUUGCGAUUUCUGCUUGCGAGAGCCAAGCCCAGAUCACAGCGGGGUCCGGAAGUGUCACGGCACCUACAAAGGAUCUACUGGGCUCCUGGGCCUGCGCUAAGAUCCAGGAACAAACUGGGCUGAGGUCCCCACCUUUGAGUCACAGGAGACAGCAGAAGUCACAACUCGGAUCUGUGUGUAAGCUUUGUGGGGCUUAUGCUCCCUGUUAAAUAUUAGCUUACUCCCCAGAUUUUUAAAAGUGAGAGAUGUCACUUCAUACUUCUUUUCCUUUUUUUUUUUUUUUUUUUUUUUUGCUUUGCUUUUUAGGAGCCGUACCCAUGGCAUAUAGAAGUGCCCAGGCUAGGGGUCAAUCAGAGCUGUAGCCACCGGCCUACACCACAACCACAGCAAAAGGAAUCUGAGCCACGUCUGUGACCUACACCACAGCUCACAGCAGCACCGGAUCCUUAACCCACUGAGCGAGGCCAGGGAUCGAACCUGCAUCUUCAUGGAUACUGGUCAGGUUCAUUUCUGCUGAGCCACAGUGGGAACUCCUGAACUUCGUAUUUCCAGAUCCUCCUGAGAAAAGAGGAUCAGAGUUCCCAUUGUGGCUCAGUGGUUUAAGAACCCGACAUAGUGUCCACGAGAAUGCGGGUUCGAUCCCUGGCCUCUCAGUGGCUUAAGGAUCCAGCGUUGCCACAAGCUGCAGGUUAGGUCACAAGGGCAGCUUGGAUCAGGUGUGGGUUUGGCUGUGGUGUUCCCUUGGCAGCUGCAGCUCCGAUUCGACCCCUAGCCUGGGAACUUCGACAUGCCAUAGGUGUAGCCAGAAAAAGAAGAGGAUCUGAAAAGCCAACCACUCUGGCCCUGACUUUCGACUAUCCCUGGGAUGGGGCAGACACCCUCCAGGGUGGCACAGUCCCCACCUGGCCCCCCUUGAUUCAGAAAGAGCAGCUUAAUAUAAAAGUUAAUAAUGCAGAUUCCACGGCCAGUUUCUGCAUCCUAGCUCAGGCAUGGCUUAGUUGUAUGGUCUAAAGCAAAUCAUUUAACAUUUUUGUGAUUCAAAAAUAGGGACAAUAAGUAGCACUUCCCUCAAGGGCCUUUUUAGGCAUUAAAUGAACCAACAAACCUAAAACUCUUACAGCAGUGCCUGGUGUUUGGAAUACACUAAGGGUUGGUGUCACUGAUGUUAAUGGCAGUGUAAGCUGCCUGGUCUCUGUAACCAAGCUGUAC